rnacentral:rRNA from 1 species
GACGAACGCUGGCGGCGUGCUUAACACAUGCAAGUCGAACGGUGAAGCGCCUUCCUUUUUGGUGGGUGUGGAUGAGUGGCGAACGGGUGAGUAACACGUGAGUAACCUGCCCCCUUCUUCUGGAUAACCGCAUGAAAGUGUGGCUAAUACGGGAUAUUCUGGGUCUGUCGCAUGAUGGGUCUGGGAAAGAUAUUGUUUCGGUGGGGGAUGGGCUCGCGGCCUAUCAGCUUGUUGGUGGGGUGAUGGCCUACCAAGGCGGUGACGGGUAGCCGGCCCGAGAGGGUGGACGGUCACACUGGGACUGAGACACGGCCCAGACUCCUACGGGAGGCAGCAGUGGGGAAUAGUGCACAAUGGGCGAAAGCCUGAUGCAGCGACGCCGCGGGAGGGAUGGAGGCCUUCGGGUUGUGAACCUCUUUCGCCAGUGAAGCAGGCCUGCCUCGUUUGUGGGUGGGUUGACGGUAGCUGGAUAAGAAGCGCCGGCUAACUACGUG